rnacentral:rRNA from 1 species
AACGAACGCUGGCGGCAGGCUUAACACAUGCAAGUCGAGCGCCCCGCAAGGGGAGCGGCAGACGGGUGAGUAACGCGUGGGAAUCUACCUAUCUCUACGGAAUAACCCAGGGAAACUUGGACUAAUACCGUAUACGCCCUUCGGGGGAAAGAUUUAUCGGAGAUGGAUGAGCCCGCGUUGGAUUAGCUAGUUGGUGGGGUAAUGGCCCACCAAGGCGACGAUCCAUAGCUGGUCUGAGAGGAUGAUCAGCCACACUGGGACUGAGACACGGCCCAGACUCCUACGGGAGGCAGCAGUGGGGAAUAUUGGACAAUGGGCGAAAGCCUGAUCCAGCCAUGCCGCGUGAGUGAUGAAGGCCCUAGGGUUGUAAAGCUCUUUCACCGGUGAAGAUAAUGACGGUAACCGGAGAAGAAGCCCCGGCUAACUUCGUG